rnacentral:rRNA from 1 species
CAAUAGCGUAUAUUUAAGUUGCUGCAGUUAAAAAGCUCGUAGUUGGAUUUCGGGUGGGAAUGGCCGGUCCGCCGUUUCGGUGUGCACUUGCUACGCCCACCUUGCUGCCGGGGACGUGUUCUUGAGUUCACGCUCGGGACACGGAGUCGGCGAGGUUACUUUGAGUAAAUUAGAGUGUUCAAAGCAGGCCUACGCUCUGAAUACAUUAGCAUGGAAUAACACGAUAGGACUCUGGCCUAUCUUGUUGGUCUGUAGGACCGGAGUAAUGAUUAAGAGGGACAGUCGGGGGCAUUCGUAUUUCAUUGUCAGAGGUGAAAUUCUUGGAUUUAUGAAAGACGAACUACUGCGAAAGCAUUUGCCAAGGAUGUUUUCAUUAA